rnacentral:rRNA from 1 species
CCUACGGGAGGCAGCAGGGAGGAAGAGGGGGCAAGGGACGAGAGUCUGAACCAGAAAAGGAGCGUGAAGGAUGACUGCCAGAGGGGGUGUAAACUUCUGGUAUAUGGGAAUAAAACGUUCCACGUGUGGGAUUUUGUAUGUACCAUAUGAAUAAGGAUCGGCUAACUCCGUGCCAGCAGCCGCGGUAAUACGGAGGAUCCGAGCGUUAUCCGGAUUUAUUGGGUUUAAAGGGAGCGUAGAUGGGUUGUUAAGUCAGUUGUGAAAGUUUGCGGCUCAACCGUAAAAUUGCAAUUGAUACUGGCAGUCUUGAGUACAGUUGAGGUAGGCGGAAUUCGUGGUGUAGCGGUGAAAUGCUUAGAUAUCACGAAGAACUCCGAUUGCGAAGGCAGCUUACUAAACUGCCACUGACAUUGAUGCUCGAAAGUGUGGGUAUCAAACAGGAUUAGAUACCCCAGUAGUC